AUGAAGACUGCUAGAUGAGACGGGAUCUCACUGUGUUGCCCAGGCUGGUCUCGAACUGCUGGACUCAAGUCAUCCUCCCAUCUUGGCCUCCCAAAGUGCUGGAAUUACAGUGGACAACCUUCAAUGCACUGGUACUUUGUACCCUGACCUCUACUGUGAUGAACACUCAACUUGGGCAAGGAAGUGAAAUUCUCCAAAGUGGGUUCUGACCCAAUCAGCAGCCUUUGCUUCUCAGAUUCCUCUCAAGGCUUUAUGACUCUUCUCACCCCAGGAAACCCUACAACACGCACGGCCUUUCAGAACUGCUACAUGGAAUGGACAUUCCUCUGGGCUCCAGCUGAAUGUUUGUAAAUAAAAUAAUGACUGCGUGUCCUUAUUUUUGCUGAGUACACAGGGCCUUUCCUCACAUUACAACCUUCACUUUCUCCCUGCUUCUUCACCUGCACUGUAUUUUUGCUUAGCAAGGAGGAGGGUGCUCUGAAUAGAUGGACCCUGAUUCUACUUACAAAACUGUGGGAAGAAACCGGAGCUUCCUCCCUCUCUGAGACAACGGUGCCACUGAGACUGCGUGAGAUGCGACGUAAAUUCUCUGCACUGUACUGCUCAUCCUCCCCACACUCCCUGCUGAGGCCUCGGCAAGGUGUAGCCUUCAAACACACAGACACAUACAGGCAGACACAUAAUACCAGACUUAUGGUUUUCCCACAGACAGUAUCCUCAGGGUAUGGGAAAGAGUAGGGGAAGACUCAGUAGUAAUAGACACCUGAAUUAGAUGUAUUGGUAAGAUAGUGGCCAUGUAACAAUCUCCUCUAAUUCAAAAGAAGCCCAAUCAUAGACCUUAUUUUCUUCUGAUAGCCCCAUAUCACCAUGCCUCUGCCUUAUCAUCAUCCCUGUCACAUCUCUCCAUAAUUCCUUCCCCAACACACCACCCCAGGCCCAGCACCUUAGCACCUGAGGCUGCUACCUGAGAAGUACGCACUGUUCUGGCUUCAUGGAGACCAUGCUCCAUUUCUGCUGUUGAAGUCUUUGAGAGACCAGGAUCAUGGGCUGAGUGCAACCUCCUCCCCAUGCCAUCUGCAGAGCCUGAAGAGGAAAACACAAAUACAAGUUGAGGCCAUCUCUUCCCCUAGGGCCUAACCUCUAAGCCUAGCAGCACAAACUCAGGAGCUGUUGUUUCAUUUAAUAAUAAAUAUGCAUCCUUGAAUUCAACGGAGGAACAUGCUCCUGGAAUUUAGAAGCAAGAGGGGCUGGGCGCGGUGGCUCACACCUGUAAUCCCAGCACUUUGGGAGGCCAACACGGGCAGAUCACGAGGUCAGGAGAUCGAGACCACCCUGGCUAACAUGGUAAAACCCUGUCUCUACUAAAAAUACAAAAAAUUAGCCGGGCGUGGUGGCAGGCACCUGUAAUCCCAGCUACUCGGGAGGCUGAGGCAGGAGAAUGGCGUGAACCCGGGAGGCGUAGCUUGCAGUGAGCGGAGAUCACGCCACUGCACUCCAGCCCGGGUGACAGAGCGAGACUCCGUCUCAAAAAAAAAAAGAAACAAGAAUUUUAGAAUAUAGAUAGUUUACUGAGUGUCCCCAUCUUGCUUCAUUUCAUUUUUGUAAACAUAAUCAGCUUCUGUCAGACUUAGGCUCAAGACUUAUAGACAGAGGAAAGUAUCUAACACAGUGAGUUUUGUUUUCUAACACAGUGAUUUUCUAAAGUAUCUGUGGUGACAAAGGAAAUUAUCUCCAGUCUAGUUCAGAAUAGAAAUGAUCAUAAUAAUCAUCUAUCAAACCUCCUCAUUUUAUAUAACAGGAAAAUGAGUUCCAGGGUCUGAGAGUUUAGUAGUUUAACCAGGAUUAAAAUUAAAUCCUCUUGAUUUUCAGUACAGUACUCUUACCAUCUCACCUGGUGACCUCUUUUACUCUGAGAGCAGGAGCUCCUCAGGAAUGUUUUACAUAUGUAAUGCUCUUUUCCCCUUAGCUUCUCUCAAAUCAUUUAAAUUUCUAAACAACCACUAAAUGCUUACCUCUUUUCAAAAUCUUUCUAGAUUGUUCAGUUGCUCUAAACUGGAUUGGUGACUCCCAAGGGGCUAUCCCCAAUCCAACUAAUUAAGUUUUCCAUUCCAAAACUGUAUAUGCCCCUGACCUACAUUUGAUACAUAUGUCCAUGGCCAAUUCAUGUCUUGAUUUGAUGAUUUGAUUCUAAUAUAUAUAUAUAUAUCUGGCUGAAGCUGAUAUUAUUCAUGUAAGUAUUGUAAGACCAGUUAUUUUCAGUAUUCCUGGGUACUUAAAUGCAGUGCUUUCAAUACCACCUCAGAUUCAUCUGGGAACUUUUAAAAAUAUAGCUUCCUGGAUGUUACCACAGAGCUGAAUCAGAAGGUUUGUGGUUGGUGCCUGGGAAUUUUCAUUUUUGAAAGGUUCCCAAAAAGUCUAAGAAAAUAUCCUUGAACAUUAUUGGGGGAAAUGGGAAAUGUUACAGUCUUCCUAAAAAACAACCUGGUAAUCUCCAAUAAAAUAAAAAAUAUAUUUAUCCUGUUGCCCAACGAUUCUAAUCCUGAGAAGAAGAAGAAAAAAAUACCAGUUCAUAACAACAUAUAUAUGAGAAUAUUUUCUACUGACAUAAUUUAUAGUAGCCAAGAACUAGAAAUAAAGUAAUGCCCACCUAUAGAAGAAUAAAUACAUUAUGGUUUAAUACCAGAUAUUGUCCAGCCACUUAAAAAGAUUGAACUGAGUUAAACUAGAUGAUUUGAAGAAAUUUUAAUGAAACAUUGUUGCAUUAAAAGGAAAAAAAUCUGUAAAAUGAUAGACAAGCAUUUGUUUAUGUAUAUGUAGGUCUACAUAGGAUUGUAUAAACAGAAAAUACAGUGUAUGCACACUAGAUAAUUACCUGGGGAAGUAGGGACUGGCUGUGAGAGAAGAGACAGGAAAAUUGUCUAUAAUAAAAACAGCAUGUGUGUUAUGUUCUUAUUUCUAUAAAAUU
rnacentral:lncRNA from 1 species